UUUUUCUAGUUUCCCGUGUACCCAUUUCCCCUUAACCAUUUCUUCUUCUUCAAUCUUUCUCUUCACGACUAGCUCUCUCGUUCUCUCUCGGUCAUUCCCGUAGGCUAGUAGCUCUCUCGGUCUCUCACUCCCCUUCACGAAAGACAAAUCUGAGAAGGGCUUCACCGCAUUCGAUUCAAGGGUUUCUCUGAUUCAAGACGAAAUUCCUACAGUUGAAAUUUCUUGUUUUAAUCCGCGAAGAACAACGAAGGAGCUUUACGCUAUCGUCCUUCGUACAAUGUUUCCCCGGGAUCAAACAUAUCCGUUAUCCGCAGAGAAGACGCCUCUGAUGGUGCAGUGGUCCUCCAAUGCAUGAAAUGGGGACUUAUUCCCAGUUUCACUAAGAAAACUGAGAAACCUGAUCACUAUAAGAUGUUUAAUGCUCGAUCUGAGUCCAUCAGUGAAAAGGCUUCUUUCCAUUGUCUUAUUCCUAAAAAUUGGUGCCUUGUUUCAGUAGAAGGGAUCUAAAUAGAUUUAUUGAUGAGAAGAGUGAAAGCAGAGGAGAAUAAAUUUAGCGGCUUUACAAGAUACUGAAAGAGCACAAGAAUCCCAAGGUUCUUAGCGAGGGGCUACUGUGGAUGGUUUCAGCAGUGGACGAUUUUGGCAUCUCCAUUUGAAACUUAAGGAUUUAAUUGAUUUUUGUAAAGAUACUGGACUGCAGUCAAGUGCAGCUGCUACUAGAAUUUUUUCUGUCAAGCUUUUGGGUGUUUGGCAUAAAUUUGUCGACCCAGAUAUUAAAGGGUUUCUUUCUGAUGUUAAACCUGCACUCCUUAGUGCACUGGAUACGGAGGUGCAGCAGCAGCUCCAAAGAGAACUAUUAAAUCAGCAGAACCUACAUCUGCAUCUUCUGGUGGACUAGAUGGCCUGCCACGGGAAGAUAUUAGUGGGAAGAUUACACCUACCCUGCUUAAAGGCUUAGAAAGUACUGAUUGGAAGGCUCGCUUGGAGUCAAUUGAAGCUGUGAAUAAAGUUUUGGAAGAGGCUAACAGGGCGUCCAACCCAAUGGAACUAGUACAUUCUAUCAUCUGAAUUGUUUGGUGCUCUAAGGGGUCGUCUAGGUGACAGCAAUAAAAAUUUAGUCAUCGUUUAAGGAUACCCCUUUGAAAGGGAGAAAUGCAAUAUUACAAGGUGUUUGUCCACAAAUUUUUGGACUCUUCACUGUAAAGCUUGCAGCACCUUCUCUUUUUUCAACUUAGGUUCAUUAACACUUAUUGGAGGUGUGCAACAUGUUGAUGCUUCUGGAACCAAGGUACGAGGAGAGUCUCAUUUACUUUUGGUUGGAGACCCAGGUACCUUUUCGAUUUUCAUUGCAUACUUAUAGGGUUCAUUACUUAAAUAAAAUUCUAUCAAUUCAAGACUACUGCAUUUAUGCUAUGCUUCAGUUGAAGAAGCUUUCUUUUCUUCAAAAUUCUGAUAGGAAAUUAACAAUCACUUAAAUCUAGAAAAAUAAGAACACCAUUGUAUUUUGUCUAACUGAUUCAUGAUAUUUUAUGAGUGUCUAAAGCCUGUAACCUAUAUGAAUUUUCCUGUACAAUACAAUUAGGGUUAUUACAAACAAGUUAUCCAUAGUAUUGUAUUGAGUUGUCCUUUAAUGAAAAUAAUAGGUAGGGUAACUAUUGUAAAUAGUCUAAGGGUGGGAAAAUAUAAAUUUUAGACAGAAAUUUUGAGAGCAAGAAAGUAUAGAAGAAAGCUCUAGGACUGGACUUAAAUAGUUCAAAACUUCAGGGUUUUAUUUUCUCAAUAGAAGACAUUUCUUUGCUGGUUGGAUCCAUGGACAAAAGCAAUAUUUUCCAAACCAUGUUAAAUAUUGGUAUUGAUGCUUUUGAUAUGUUCUUGUGCUCUUGAUGUGUUUGUUGGGUGUUAUUCUAAAGGUUAUUAGUAUAAGAGGUAUUUUCUCCCUUAUAACAAUUGAGAUAUGGAUUGCACGCCAUUUUAUAACUUGUCUUUUCGGGAAACACAUGCAUUAGCUACAUUAAUUAUAACUACAGAAAAUUAGAAUUACUGAAAUUUUCCUUGAAAAAUAGAAAACUGCCCAACCAUUAUUAAUUUUUCCAAUAAAAAUAGUUUUUCAAAGCUGAAAAUUCUUCUCUAGUCCUUGUUAAUUUAUUCUUGUUUGGCUUGAGUAAUGCAGCUCAGUUUAAUUGUUUGUUGCUUUACCCUUCCCUUAGGGUUUCUGGUCCUUUUAUUUUGCUAAUUAUAUAGGUGGGAGUUAUCUUAUUAUUUCAAUAUACCCAAAUAUAUAUAUUUAUAUUACUAUCAUUGGUGAACAACUGCUAAUGAGUUCAGAUUCUUUUUUUGAAUCUGUAUGUAAUCAUUAAAGCAUUAUACGAAAAAAGUUACAUGUAUAUGUAUAUAUGUAGUAAAAUUUUUUAAGGCUUUUCUCAGGUACUGAGAAAUCUCAGUUCUUGAAAUUUGCUGCAAAGUUAAGUAACAGAUUUGUUGUCACUACUGGCUUAGGAAGCACUAGUGCUGGACUCACUGUCACUGCAGUCAAGGAUGGAGGAGAAUGGAUGUUGGAAGCUGGGGCCCUAGUUUUAGCAGAUGGAGGACUUUGCUGCAUAGAUGAAUUUGAUAGGUUGGGGAUCGAAUUGGCAAGGAGCAUUGCAAAUGUAAUUUGCAAGAGUUGUUAAACCAAGACAAAAAACAAGAUUUUAGUAAGAGAACAACAUCAAAUACAAAUUCAUUGGAGAUGGAUAAAAGUUGGAUCCAUCUUAACAGAGUAACGGUGGAAUAUGAGCAAAAAGCUAGAGAGUUUGCACUUGCUUGACUGGGCAGAUGCAAUUGUUGCUAAAGGUCGUUGGGAUUCUAGUGAUCCAAAUAUAACUGUACAUGGAAAGCCUCUUGGACCAGACUUUAUGCGAGUAUGGGUUGAUGUUGCUAUUGUACCAGAGUCUUAUUUAUUUCGUCCUAAUCAUGCGAUGCUUACAAUACAAGAAGCAGUUGGUUCCACAGUUGCAUGGCCUUCCAAAAAAGUUAUUCCAAGAGAUAUGACAAGCGAAGUAUAAAAGGAUACUUCAGACUCCUUGAAAGUAGUAACUUUGUUUAUUUCUUUGUGUUGAAAGUAGUAACUUUUAGACUCCUUGAAUACUUAAAGAAUGUUUUGUUGUUGAUGAAAGUAUUGAAUGUUUUAAACUAAAUUGUGGAUUGUUAAUUCAAUGUAGAAUGUUCUUACUUUUUGUUAUUUGAAAAUCAAGU